UCACAGGUUGAACAUUAUUGUUCUACAGCAGAUGUUCCGUCAUUAACAUCUCUUGCCUAGAGUACAUCUAAAGCUUCUGAGAGAAGCCUUGUGCAACAUGCUGUCAAGUGACGAUUGAGGAAAGGGAGAAAUCAAUGGUGUGCACGGAGACAGCUGAAGUCACUGUUCAGCUGCAUACCUUCUGAAAAUGCACUGGGGGACAAGUUUAAAGGCAAACGUCAAGGCUUGUUAUGUAGUGAUAUUACGUGCAGUUAGUUAGAGCUAAUAAUUUGAAGAGGGUAAGCUAGAAAUGAGGAUUUUAAAAAAUCAAUAAAUUGAGGGGUGAAGGUAAUAUGCUUAGCCCAUGUAGCUAAAAAUAACAUUGACUUCCAUUCAUUUGACACUGCUGCAUACAGGUUCUUGCUGUUAUAUUUUAAUAGUAGUUAUUGUUAGGGUUUGCAACAGUUGUUCCUUUGAUUUGAUCUUAAGUGGUGCCAAGAAACUGGCAAGCAAGUCCAAUUGGAGCUAUCAGACCUUGCAAAGGAAAAAGCAAGAAUGUUAAGUACAUCUAUACAGAUAAAAACCUCAUUUACUUUAAGUCGUGGUUAAAGGAAGCAUUGUCAUGUCCCUCCUUAUUCAUGGUACAACUAUGCUAGUCUUGGAAAUGGGUUAUGGAACUUGCGUGGAUGGUAGAUAGUUUGACACCUAAAGAGUACUUUUGAACUAGUGGAGUGGAAAGCUCAGAGCCAGUAUUAGUAGUUAUCUUGUUGCUCUCCAAAAGAAUGGACAGACAUCCCACUUCCUUGUUUCAUCACUAUGAAGUGUCUUGAAUCCGAGAUCAGUGUGUGUGUGUAGAUGGAUGUUGUGUUGCAGAGUGUUUUGCAGGCAUUUCAAUUCGUAGUUCAGCAACUGGAAUCAGAACAUCAGGUAUUUCUGUUAUCCAAUCGUCUUUUGUCCACUCAUAAGAUAUUCACAGUAGAUCAAAAGAAGUAUGCGUUUUUUGUAAUUGCAGUAGUGUUUUGGGCAGGGUGUUGUUUGUUUCUCUAUUAUUAUGCAGUCAAGUAGACUUGGCAAUACAAGCCAGAGAGAAUGAUCCCAGAGGGUCAUCAGCAAUUGGUAGAUCAUUGGCAUUUCAGUGGAAGCUGGAUUCAAGCAAUGUAAGCUGACAAAAAUGAAUUUAUCACAAUUCCUGCAUUAGAUUAGUAUCAGCAAUGUGCCUGGUUUGCUACUUCAGCACCAAAACUGCACCUAUCAUGGACAGAUUUAACACAUCCCUGGGUGUUAUGUAUGGUGAUCAGUGCAAAUAAAGUUUACCAAGGAUUGUAUUUGCCAUUCAGCCUUAAACAAAAGUUGAGCAUCUCUUCCUCUCUUCAUGGUUUGGCAUCUAGUCAUUUGAUAUUGUUCUUCUCCUCUUCACUACCCUUAAAGCCAGCCUAGCAUUGUAUAAAAGCGUUGCCAAUGCAUUUCGACAGAGAGAGACAUUAAUUUGCUACCCUAGACAAAACAAACAUGAUACAUAUGACCUGACUGGACACUGAUUCAGCCUAAAGAAAGAUGCAAAAUGAAGUAGCAACAUGAGAGAAAGUAAAAGCUGCCCAUUUAGUCUAGCCCCUGAGGAUCUUGAAACCAUCUUCCCCUAUGAUUCAGCCUAAACAAAGAUGCAAAAUGAAGUAGCAACAUGAGAGAAAGUAAAAGCUGCCCAUUUAGUCUAGCCCCUGAGGAUCGUGAAACCAUCUUCCCCUAUGAUUCAGCCUAAACAAAGAUGCAAAAUGAAGUAGCAACAUGAGAGAAAGUAAAAGCUGCCCGGUUAGUCUAGUCCCUGAGGAUCUUGAAACCAUCUACCCCAGUGAUAGGACAUUAUGUGAAGAGCUGAAAUGCUAGUAGUAGUCCAGAAUUAGCUUUGCCAUCAGUGUAGAAAAGCUUUCACAGCUCCCAUUUGAUGGAAAUAGCAAGCAGUUUUCCCAGUUUGAAUGCAGAUACUCUUUGGCAAGUCUCAUAGUAGAGGUCAGGAUGUUUGAAUUGCCCAAAGAAUGCAUGCUUUGAAGCUUUUUCAGCUAUUCAGCAAGGAAGCAGCACCAAAAUGAUGAAAUCAAACUGAAAUCGCACCGAAAUCAUUACUUGUGGAGUAAGCAUAUUCAUUGUUAGCAGUUCUUGUGGUGCUCUUGGCUCAAUAUACAUGGUGAAGGUAACAAAAUUUUUAUUCAGAUGAACUUCCUUUAGCAAGGAAAGCUAAUCUCACUAGCAGAUAUUGGUUGUGUGACUUUUGCCCUCCUUGUAAGAGAAUGCAACUAGCAAUGCAGAAGAGCUGCUGAUAAGGAAGACACACCUUGAUUUCCAUAAGUGCAAUUUUCAGCCCUCCCCCAUCAUAAUGUGGGAUCAAUGGGACUUUUUCGUCGUUAAAAUCACAUUCAACCAUCAGUAGUGGCAAGUAGUAGUUUACAGUUGUACUUUCAAGUUGCAAGCAUCUUUUUUGUGGUUAAAAAUUUUCAAGCUUCUUUAACAGCCACUAUUGUGAUCUUUCCAGUUGUGUUGGAUUCAUCCUCGAUUAAAAAAAGGGACUUAAAUCUGUGAACUUCAUAGGAUCUGAAGAAUCACUUAAAGACAAUUUCCACCCAGCUAGGAUUUCUUUUCAUUCACUUAGUCACUUCAUCGCACAAGGCAAGCUUUUGAGAGUGCUAUGUUGGAAUUUUGAAUUUGUUUUCUACAGUGUGCGUGUGUGUGUAGCUUUCUCAUCAGAGUCAAAUGUAAGCAGAUGGACCAAGCAGCAGUUGGCUAUCCUUUGACUGUCCGCAUGUUAGGUUGUUAAACCAAGCAAAAAUGAAAGAAGGACUGAUUAUUCUGCAAAGAACACCAGUAAUUAUAUCUAUCCUUGGAAAUCCAUUUUGCCCAAAGUCCCACUUCCCAAGUAGCGAGAGUACAGCAGCGGGUAUUGAAUUUCAGACCAUCCUCUGAUCCUUAGCACACCAGGCCAUAGUUGGUUACUUUCUCCACUUCCUAGAAGUUAUCAUCAAAGAAAAUACCAAGGUCAACAAUAUGUUUCCACUUGCAUUAAGCCACAAGGUAGAGCUUUAGAGGAUAUUGGUUUUCAAAUAUACAUAGCUUUGUUAGCAGAAUUGGCUUCCAACUCAAGAAAUUUGGCAAGAGUUUUGUCGUGAUUGCAAAUUGACCCAAGAAAAUUGAUUUGGCCUUUCACCCAUGAGUGGCUUCCUCUUCCCCAGCAUACUUUGGAUGGAUGUGUGUAGUUACUGAAGCUAGCUGGCAAUUUGUACUUUCCUCAGCCCUUGGCACCUACUGAAAUACUAGGUGGAUGCCUUUGAAAGUAGCUCUCUGAUUCACAGACAAGGGAAGCAGCAAGUAACCAAUAGAAAAUAGGAGAAGAAAUUUCUCGGGAAGUCAGAUUGGCUGGAGCAAGCAUAAUAUUCAAAGUAACCUGCAGGAUUGAUUAUAUUCUAAGAAAUAAGUAUUCUUUUGUCAAGGUGAUAACCCAACUGAUUUCACAGGUAAUAGCUUUUUUGAAUGUGUUUUCCUUGUUUUCUGCUUGCUUGAUGUGUUUUGUUUUUUUGUUUCUGAGAAAGUUGAGAUGAUAGAGCUUAGGUGUCAACUUGAAACGCAGCAAAACCCUACUGGUGUCUUCAAAGCAAUGUCAAAAAGUUAAUGUUUCUGACCCAUUGGUGAUAGAGAUGACAACGCAGCUGUGGUGCAUAAUUCUAAAAGUUUAAAGCCCACCCUAAAAGUCACCUUAAGUUUCUCCUGUGUGAUUGGGAACCUGAUGUCUUGAGUCCAUGCAAUUAGAUGAGAGAGAGAGGGGAUUAGUUGUGCUGUAUCUGUGAAGAUGAGGAAUCUAAGGAAUGGCCUGUUUGCAAAUUGAGUAACUGGAUUUCUCUGGCAAGUAGUUUUGGAUCAAUUUUUCAUACUAUUUUUCUUGUGUGAUAAGCAAAUGAUUGCAUUCCCUGAGACAGUUUUUUCCAGGACGGUGAAAUCAGUGAAACAAGAGCCUGUAUGUCACUAGUGACUCUGAGUAAGGCCUUCAUUUGAGCCCAGCAUUGCAGUGGCACUUGUUUAAGUUCUUGGAGAAGUGACUGUAAUCAACUGAUGACCUCUGCACGGCAGCAAGAACUAGAUGCAGGCACAAGUUUUAAAGUCCCUCAGCUUUGCUCUGUAGCAUGCUACUUAAAGUUUUCAGAUAGUGAGAAUUCAUCUGAUGGAAGAAGCUAAAUCUUUGGAUUACUAUGAGAGUCAGAAAGUAGUGUGUAACAUGGGUAUUACUCAUAAUUUCAAAGUAUGUCAAGGAUGUUAUUAAGAUAGUGAACAUUUUCUUGAGCUUUUGAGUCUUUUUUUUUUCUCUUGCUUGUUCUGAAUUCGGUUUUCAGCAGUUUUGUGGAGGAAUCUGUCAGCAAUGACCAGUGGUGAUUUUCUGCCAUAGUGGUGGUCUUAAAUUUCAAUUGGCAACUUCAUGAGGCGGCAUUCCAGCUUUUAGCAAGGUGCAAGUUCCACUAUUACUUUUAGAUGUUGAAUCGGCAGGCAAACCCAACCAAUUUGGACAUUUUACCAUUCAUGUGGCUUUCAGAAAAAGGCUUGCGGCAUAUCAGUAGGACUGGUCUGUAUGGGUCUGGCCUCAGGUAGCUGAAUUUAACUGAGAUAAUCCUGCAGAAAAAAAGAGGACAGAAGUACACGUACAAUGACUGUUGGUGGAGCUUCCUCAGAAGUGGUAAUGUUAGGCAACCAAAUUCAUUCUUCCAUUGUUUUAAAGAAAGAAUCAGAAACACUUUGCACCAUUUCAAUUGAUAUGAGCAGUCCUAAUUAUCUGGUAAGGAAAUAUUUCAAACAAGUUUAUGCAUGGACUCAGUUAUUUUGGGUAUAUUUUUUGGAUCUUUUUCAAGUGUCUUUCAGAAUGUAUACAGUCUGUGUACAGUAGCAGUUUCUUGGAAAAGCAUUUUUCUCAAUUUUGAACAAGACUUCUUAGCAUCCAGCAGCUUUCCCUGGUCCUUGUUAAAAACCUUAAAUGUGCAUCAAGCAUGAAGGAAGGCCCUGCUAACCCAAAGGUGUGAACUUAAUGGGUAUUAAACGUUCUCCGCCUUACAAUGGGUGCAGUUUGUGUGGAAACUUUUUGCCAGGUUUUCAGCCCCAGCGUGUGGUUCACAAUUCACUCUAUUGGUGGAAUUAGUGCAUUAGGACAAGGGCAAUUUUCAGAGUAAUCCUAGGGUCAGGAGGCGCAUUUUCAGGGUCAAAUGUAAGUGCGUGCUGUAAUUCUUCUCAAGUGAGUUUUGUCCUAUUGGCUACCUUGUCAGUUUUUUUUGUGAGUUGUGUGUGCAUGGUUUUAAAUGAAUUUGUUAGGAAUGUGUAUGCAGAGUUAGCAACAAUGGUUUUUUAGGACUGUAUUGUACCCAAUUCAAGUCCAAAAUGGAAUUGUCAGACCAUAAAGUGGUUUUUCAGAAUUUGGCAAGCACCUCGGAGGCAAAUUCAGUGGUACACAAAAGACUGUAUUGUACUCAAUUCAAGUCCAAAAUGGAAUUGUCAGACCACCAAGAAAUUUUUCAGAAUUUGGCAAGCACCUCAGAGGCAAAUUCAGUGGUACACAAAAGAAGUGAAUAUACCACAUCCCGGAGAACUUAAACCUUCUUCAGAAAUGCUGAGUAAAGUUAACCACUCUGAAGUCCUUCAUCAAUUUGGACCAAAACAACGCUUUUACUUGUUUGAUAUUAAUAUUCACAAUAGUGCAGACCAUCUGGUAAGGGAAACCUUCAAAUCAACCAUGUAUGAGCAUGUAUUUCCUGUGGAUUUCGUUUCUUUAAGGAGUCUUUUUUCAGGGGAUAAGCCUAGUUAUUUCAGCAGCACUUUACCAAACCAACUGAAAUUAUGGAGCAGCUAUAGCUUUGUGCCAGCUUUGAAAAUUAUCCAAGUCCUUUUGUGCCAAGGUAGCAUCACUGUGGUAAUAUCCAGUCCAGUUAAGUGGUUAAAAGUUAACCUCCUAGAUCCUCGAAAGAGUUUUGCCAUACCUGUCCAAGUUAAGGGCCAUGUGCUGUCACUCAAGUGUAGCUGAACAUGCUGUGUCUUAGAGAACCACAUCCCUCUUGUGUAUUUAUGUGCCAGUGCAUUGUCUAUACCAGUUUCAGGACUGCGCAAUGUACCGUGUAUUUUGUUGCAACAAAUUUAUCAGAACUUGUCACUCUGGGGUAAAACAACCAGCAUAUUGGGUGCAUUUUCGACCUGUUCCUAAAGAGCAAAUUCAUCUACACACAUCUUGUAUUCCAUGUGUUGUGCCACCUGCCUUUUAGAUGUCAAGUGUGUAUUGCUUCAUGGAAAGUGUCUGUCUGUUCAACAAAAAACAGCCCACUCAACAACAAACUUUUAAGAUGAACAUUUCAAAAAAUCUGGUUAUGUUACUCCUUCAAAGUCUGUGAUUGUCUCACUCCCAUGGGCAGUCCCAAGUCCCAGUCACUGAUUCUCUAAGUAGGCUGAUCAGAAAUUUACCAGUACAUUCAUGGAGGUGCAAUUCACAUCUGAAUCCUUACUUGGUGGUUAAAGAUUCUUGUAGAAGGUUAAAUUAAAGGUUGGUUUUAUGUUUUGGUUAAUUUGUAGUAUUUGUAAUUAGACAAUUCAUAUUUCUCAAUUAAGUUAUCCAGGGAUGAGGUAAUAUAAAGACCGUACUGUCUCUCAAGAAUUGUUCUUAUGCUCUUGACUAAGUGACUUAAUUAAUGAGAUAUAGAGUUAAGUUUAACCUAGUAGUAUCAUCAAAACCAGUACAUACUUUGUCAGACCUUACAGAUAUUGAGUAUCACCAAGUAAUGGAAGUUUUUUGGCUUCGGCAAGUAUUUGUUUUGGAAUGUUGCCUUUUUUGUUGUUAAUAUGAAAAGUAUGCUUUGUUUGUCUGUAAUUGCGUGUUUUUCUUGUCAUGAGAAUCAGUGGAAGGGUUUACUGUGAAAUACCAUCUACUAAGAUUUAUUUCCCUUAGAAAUGCAUCAUUAACUAUUGUUAACAUAUUAGCUCCACACCUAUUUAUGCUUGUGUAUAAAGUCGAAACUGUGAAGAGCUUUGUCUGUGAUUGGGGGGAUAUUUUUGUUCUCUUUUGAUUGUUACCAGGCAAAUUUGCAUUUUUUGGAUGGAAUGUCAAGAAUAUGAAAAAGGCAAGCUUAACUUUCUGAUCCUUAGUUUCAUUAUAGAUUACUCUUUUUUUCAUUUUGUAAUCUAACAUGCAUUUUGAUAGUGGUAGUUUGUAAUUAACCUAUUCCACACAUGUUUUUUUUUUUUAAUUUAUUUAUUUACUGUAACUGAAAAUCUUAGUUAGGUUGCAAUACUUCAUUAUGUAAUCUAGGAUUUAUUAUGGGCAAACAGUGCAUAUUUUUGUCAACCUCUAUAGCUAUUAAGGUUGCUUAUGUGAUAGAUGAAGCUCAGUUUCACUCAUUUGGUCUGUGAGCAAAAGCAGCUGGGAAUACUUUUUACAGGAUAACAAUCAAGGCUUAAUCAAAAAUUUCUGCUCUGAACUGCAAGUUGUCAUCAUGCAGCAAUCAUUUGGUUGAUGCAGGUAUUGAUUUGAACUGUUGCCUUUUGAAUUGUUAGGUCUUUGAAAUAUUUUGCAUACUCUGAUUAAUUCACAGCGCUUGUUUUUUCUGGAUCAACAAUUGUUGCCAGGUCAUCUUUGCCCAAAAUGGUUAUGGCCUUGACUUGCUGUUUGCUGUCGGUCAGUUCAGUAGUUUGUCUUGUUCAAAAUUUUUAUGCAGAAAUCUGUGCAUAUAUCCUCUCUACACAGUGUUGUAAUCUUGUUGGAAAUGAAGGGCUUUCAAAUGCAUCCUCUUCAUCCAGUUGAUACAGGUAUUGAUGUGACCAUUUGGCAUCUGCUUUAAUUUUUUCUCUGAGAUGCAUUACAUACUUUGAUCAAUUCAUAGUGAUUUCUGUUGGAAUAUACUAGAAUUCAACUUAAUUUUGAAGUUUUCUUGGCAUCGACUUUCAAGGCUGAGUUGGUCAGUGAUUGAAGUUCAAAAUUGUCGCCCAGAAUCAUUUCAUUUCAUCUCUUCAAGCAGAUUUGUAUUUUCACUGGGUGUUGUCACCCUUCCAAGUGCUGCCUCGUCAUUUAGUUUACACAGGUAUUCGCUUGACCUUUUGCCACCUGGAGCAUUUUUUCUUUGAAAUAUAUUGCAUACUCUGAUCUUUUUACAGCAUUUUUUAUUGAAUGUGCUACUGUUGACAGCUCAACUUGGCCUAAGAUUUUAUGGCCUUCGCUUUCCGGCAUGCAUAGGUCAGUUCCAUGAUGUGGCAGUUGAAAUCGAUGUGUAGAAAUCUGUGUACAUGUCCUCUAUAUACAGCUUCGUUAAUCGAUUGGAUGCAUAUGUCCUUCAAAUGCGAUCUUGUCAUUGUGUUGAUUCAGGUAUUCACUUAACGUUUUGCCUUCUGAACUGUUUUUCUUCGAAAUGUAUGACAUACUCUGGUCAAUUCACAGCAAUUUCUGUUUGAAUGUGGAACGGUGGACAGCCCAACUUGGUCUUGGAACAUAAUGGCCGUGACUUCUUUUGUCCAUGAACGUUAGUUUUACGAUUUGUCUAGUUUCAAACUGUUAUGCAGAAAUCCGUGCAUUAUAUCCUCUUUACACAGCUUUGAACAUCUCCUCUAAGCUAGUUGGAAUUUGUGAGCAUUUUGGACAAAGCCAGAUUUUUCCAUUCCAUCGGCACGCUUUCAGAAGCCAAUUACCAGUAAAUCUUGAGAUUUGUCAAGGGAAAAAAUUCUAAGCAAACUGGAUCCGAAAAGCAGAGGUACUUCUUCUUGUCAUCUUUUUCAACUUCAGUGUUUCUCUCGACACCAUGUAUGUUUCGUUAGUAUCUUCAAUAGUUUGUCCAGCCAAGCGCAGCACAAGUAAGGUUGAGGAUUAGGUACCAACUUUUGAGGUAAUUGCAAUAUGAAUUACCAUAUCAUUAUUUCAAAUUAGUGGCAAUGUGGUGCAUGCUUUGUUCAGUCUUGACAGAACUUUUGUUUUUUGGUUUGAACUUGCUAUAAGCAUACUUCAUCUCGAAUAACUACACUUGGGCAGCUCAACUCCAAUCAUGAAACGGUUUCCUUGUACAAGGUAUUUCCAGCAUGAAUUAUCACUUCAAAUUAUUGGCAAUGCAGUGGAUACUUUGCGAAGUCGACAGCAUUUUUGUUUCUAGUUCAUUCAUGUGUUAGUGAUUCCUUGGUUACCUUUAUCAUUUGAGAUGUCGUCAAACUUUGGCUAAAUCUUGGAAGGCUUUCAAGAUAUCAGGUACCAAAAUCAAGUAUCUUUCAAAUUCCAAUUUGAGUAGAUGUGGUGUAUGCUCUGUUCACUUUUCACAGCAGUUUAAUGUGCCAGAUGGAAUUUACAUUAAUUGAACUUGGUCACCUUCAAGCUAAGGCCUGGUGUGAACAUCGUGGCGUAAGUCAUUACUUGCCAAUCUAUGGACAGUCGACAAGCUCUUUCUCAUUGGUGAAUGCAAAUUUUUUGGACAUUGUACUUGUCAGUUGUGGCAUUCAUUCCAAAAUUUUUUUUGUAUGUGAAAAUGUUGGAUAUUUUGUCAGGUUCCACAGUCUUCUGGUAAUUUUUCUGUCCCACUCCGAAAUAAGGUGGAUUGUGUGCCUGCAGUAUCGAAAGCAUCAAACAUUUCCUCUUGACAGUCAGCUGUUUGUAGUCUUUCUAAUCACAUUUGUUCAGAUAAACUCUGGUGAACUGGAUACCUAAAAUUCAGGUAUUGAAUCUUAUUUUUUGCCACUAUUAUGGUUUGAUUUCAACAUGCAUGUCAACACUAUGUGUGUUCCAUCAGUAUCUUGAGCAGUUUCUGCUGUGGCAAGCUCCACUUCAACUCGGAUAUACAAAGUAAGACAUAAUUUUAGUCUCAUUUGCCAUCACAUUCAGUUUGAAAUGGUUGUCUGGGAAACAGUGUAUACUUUGUAAGUCUCGGCAGCUUUGUGAACAACUCCUACAGGAUGAAGGUUAGUUUUCAGAUAUGUAUUUGUUUCUGGUCACAAAGGUUUUGUAUAUUUCUUUUUCAAGUGUAGUGAAGCAUUGGAUGAAGGAAAACAAUCUCGGUAAAACAUUUUCUGUUUUUCCAAUAUUAAAGUAAAUUUGAACUCCUAUAGUUCUUUUUCUAAAAAGUCAAUUUUUGUAGUUGUGCAAACAGUGUAUACUUCAUUCUGAUCUUAACAGCGUUAAAGUUUAGUGGAUUUGCAUCUGCUUCAGGUUGCGUUUUUGACCUUCUUUUGUAAUCUCAGUGAAUUAGUUUCUUUGCUGUCAUUAUUGUGUACUGUUAUUGAUAAAUAUUAACUACAUAAUGUACAUUAAGGGAACAUCAAACUGUAGUUGGUUAUACUUUCAUGAUAACAGUUAUUAAAGAAAUUUGUCGUGCUAGUUCUCAUAAUUUAAAGAAAUUUAGUUUGCAGUACUUUUAUUUUAAACUGAUUAUGGAUCAUGUAUGCAGCAGUGUCUAUGCGUGGGCUAAGCCUAAUUUAGCAAUUAGAUUAAAUAUGUUGAAGUAGCAGUGAGGUCAGGAUAGGCCAGGGUUUAGGUUGCAGAUGUACCAGCAGACAUCACAGUGUGGAAGAUGAGGAGGAUCUGCUUGAAAGCAGGAAGGUGUAAACUGUAAGGAUGCUGUGAAAUGAAUUACACUCAAGGCUUGGAUUAGCACAUGUUUGAGAGUUAUUUUUCAAGUGAAAACAAAGUGGAGAUUCAUCUGAAAUUAUAUUCAAUUUGAAAUGUGUAAAUUUUUUGAGAUAAGUCUUUCAUGGCAUGCCUGGGUGUCAGCUGCCUGCACUGGGCCAGGACUAUGUUUCCAGACUGUUUUUAUCCCACAAGGGUUUUUUUAAGUCUGGUUUUACGCAGCCGGCAGGCAGCACAUAAAACAGAUCUACCUGACAAAUCAGUUUGAUUUCAUUUUGACUGAUAUAUCUUUGGAUCAUGCAUGGUUAAUUAACAGAGUUUUUGGUGUUUAGUAACUUGGUAUUAAUUGAAAAUAAACUACGUUUGGAUGAUA